rnacentral:rRNA from 1 species
UACGUAGGGUGCAAGCGUUAAUCGGAAUUACUGGGCGUAAAGCGUGCGCAGGCGGUUUUGUAAGUUUGUCGUGAAAGCCCCGGGCUCAACCUGGGAAUUGCAUUUGAGACUGAAUAGCUAGGGUGCGGAAGAGGGAAGCGGAAUUUCCGGUGUAGCGGUGAAAUGCGUAGAUAUCGGAAGGAACACCAGUGGCGAAAGCGGCUUCCUGGUCCAGCACCGACGUCAGGCACGAAAGCGUGGGGAGCAAACAGG